GACAGAGGGUGCGAGCGUUGUCCGGAAUCACUGGGCGUAAAGGGCGCGUAGGCGGCUUGGUAAGUAUGCGGUGAAAUCCCGGGGCUCAACCGUGGAACUGCUGGGCAUACUGCGGGUCUUGGGCCAACUAGGGGCAGCCGGAACAAGCGGUGGAGCGGUGAAAUGCGUAGAUAUCGCUUGGAACGCCGAAGGUGAAAACAGACUGCUGGGGGUGCGCCGACGCUGAGACACGAAAGCCAGGGGAGCAAACGGG
rnacentral:rRNA from 1 species